GAUGAACGCUAGCGGCAGGCCUAACGCAUGCAAGUCGAGGGAGAGGUUACCUUCGGGUAACCAAAACCGGCGCACGGGUGCGUAACGCGUAUACAAUCUGCCUUUCACAUAGGGAUAGCCCGAAGAAAUUUGGAUUAAUACCUAAUGGUAUAUAAGAGCGGCAUCGUUUUUAUAUUAAAGCUACGGUGGUGAAAGAUGAGUAUGCGUUCUAUUAGCUAGUUGGAGAGGUAACGGCUCCCCAAGGCGACGAUAGAUAGGGGUUCUGAGAGGGAUGUCCCCCACACUGGUACUGAGAUACGGACCAGACUCCUACGGGAGGCAGCAGUGAGGAAUAUUGGACAAUGGUCGGAAGACUGAUCCAGCCAUGCCGCGUGCAGGAUGAAGGUCCUAUGGAUUGUAAACUGCUUUUGUAAGGGAAGAAUAAGGAGUACGUGUACUUUGAUGACGGUACCUUACGAAUAAGCAUCGGCUAACUCCGUG
rnacentral:rRNA from 1 species